AACGAACGCUGGCGGCGUGCCUAACACAUGCAAGUUGAGCGCCCAGGAUUGGGACUGGUACACACUAGAGUAACACCUAACGACAUACCUUUUGGUUCGGAACCACUCAUGGAGACUUCAGCUAAUACCGGAUAAGCACUUACAGGGAAAGAUUUAUCUCCAAAAAAUUGGCCCGCGUCUGAUUAGCUCGUUGGCGAGAUAACGGCUCACCAAGGCGAAGAAUAAUAGCUUGUGUGAGGUAAUGAUCAACCUCACUGGGACUGAGACACGGCCCAGACUCCUACGGGAGGAAGAAGUGGGGAAUAUUGGACAAUGGGGGCAAGCAUGAUCCAGCCAUGCCGCGUGAGUGAUGAAGGCGUUAGGGUUGUAAAGCUCUUUUGCCAGGGAAGAAAAUGACGGUACCGGGAGAAUAAGCCCCGGCUAACUUCGUG
rnacentral:rRNA from 1 species